rnacentral:rRNA from 1 species
AUUGAACGCUGGCGGCAGGCCUAACACAUGCAAGUCGAGCGGAUGAAGGGAGCUUGCUCCUGGAUUCAGCGGCGGGCGGGUGAGUAAUGCCUAGGAAUCUGCCUGGUAGUGGGGGAUAACGUCCGGAAACGGGCGCUAAUACCGCAUACGUCCUGAGGGAGAAAGUGGGGGAUCUUCGGACCUCACGCUAUCAGAUGAGCCUAGGUCGGAUUAGCUAGUUGGUGGGGUAAAGGCCUACCAAGGCGACGAUCCGUAACUGGUCUGAGAGGAUGAUCAGUCACACUGGAACUGAGACACGGUCCAGACUCCUACGGGAGGCAGCAGUGGGGAAUAUUGGACGAUGGGCGAAAGCCUGAUCCAGCCAUGCCGCGUGUGUGAAGAAGGUCUUCGGAUUGUAAAGCACUUUAAGUUGGGAGGAAGGGCAGUAAGUUAAUACCUUGCUGUUUUGACGUUACCAACAGAAUAAGCACCGGCUAACUUCGUG